CGCUCGGGCUGGUGGAGCGGCAGCCGCUCUCGGCCCUGGCCUGGGCCUCGCCGGAGGAGCUCUCGACGGCCCCGGGGAUCGGCCUCGCGCGGGCGGC
rnacentral:tRNA from 1 species